UUAGUAGAGACGGUGUUUCUCCAUGUUCAUCAGGCUGGUCUCAAACUCCCAACCUCAGGUGAUCCACUCGCCUCGGCCCCCAAAGCGCUGGGAUUACAGGCGUGAGCCACUGCACCCGGCCUAAUUUUUCUCUUCUGUGUACAUCAACCUCCCACAUGCUAUACUAUUUAUUUAUAUUAUGAUCUGGUUAUCCUCAUUAAAAUGUAAGCUCCAUGAGGAAAGGGCUUUAAAGUCAGUUUUGCUCGCUGCUAUAUCAACAAUAGCUAGAAGAAUGCCUAGCACAUGCUUGUCUUUAAAUAUAUAAUUUCUCCAUAAAUGAAUAAAGUCAUUACUGUCAUGCAUGAUCUCAUUAAUACUCAUUUAAUACUCACAGAAAACUUAGAAAAUUUUAUGUUACAUAUUAUGUAACCACAGAAUUAGUGGUAUCUUUUUCUAGACUGGAUAAAAGUUUGGAUUCAUGUAGCAAGUACAGCAGGCAAAAAGUAUGCAUACAAAUAUCUGUAUAUAUAUCUAUGCUAUUUGUAAUAAUAAAAUGUUAAACAGGAGAAGUAUCUAAAAAUUUCUUCAGUAGAUGAUCUGUUAAAUAAGUUUAGUAGCCCAAUACUUUAUAUAGAAAAUAAAUUAUUUUUUUACUUAAUAUGAACUAAGCAUAUUUUAUCACUGUGUAAAAAAAAUAGUUGUAACAUAAAAAAUACAAUUGUGGGCAUCCAGUGCCAUGGAGGAGUACGCUUGGGAGCCUUGCCCAUGGCGAAUUGUGGAUGAUUGUGGUGGAGUCUUCACUGUGGGUGUCAUUGGUGGUAGAGUCUUCCAGGCCAUCAAGGGUUUCCGCAAUGCCCCUGUUGGAAUUCGGCACCAGUUGAGAGGUAGUGUUAACACUGUGAGGAUCCAAGUCCCCCAGAUUGGAGGUAGCUUCGCAGUGUUGGGGGGCCUGUUCUCCACCAUCGACUGUGGCCUGGUACAGCUUCCGGGCAAGGAGGAUCCCUGGAAAUCUAUCACCAGUGGAGUAUUGAUGGGGCUGUGCUGGCUGCCUGCAGUGGCCCACUGGCCAUGGUGGCCUCAGCGAUGAUGGGGGACAUCCUGUUGGCCCUCAUUGAGGGCGUUGGCAUCCUCGUCACUCGCUACACAGCCCAGCAGUUCCAAAAUCCUCCCUCAUUCCUGGAGGACCCCAGCCAACUGUCCUCUAAGGAUGGCACCCAGGCCCCAGGCUAUCCCAUAUAUUAG